GUGGCGGUGGUGGCGGUGGGGAUUUGUAUUUGUAAGGGUGAUGUGGUGGUGGGUAGUGCGGUGGUGGUGGUGGUGGUGGGGAUUUGUAUUUGUAAGGGUGAUGCGGCGGUGGGUAGUGCACUGGUGGUGGUGGUGGUGGUGGUGAUGGUGGUGGUGGCGGUGGCGGUGGGGAUUUGUAUUUGUAAGGGUGAUGUGGUGGUGGGUAGUGCGGUGGUGGGUAGUGCACUGGUGGUGGUGGUGGUGGCGGUGGGGAUUUGUAUUUGUAAGGGUGAUGUGGUGGUGGGUAGUGCACUGGUGGUGGUGGUGUUUGUGGUGGUUGCUGUGGUUUUUUGUAUUUGUAAUUUAUUCGUGGUGGGUUGGUGAUUUGCGGUGGUGUGGUAGUUCACUUGUGGUGGUGCGGCGGCGGCGGGGACUUGUAUUUGUAAGGGUGAUGUGGUGGUGAGUAGUGCACGGGAGGCGGUGGUGGCGGGGGCGUGGACUUGUACUUGUAAGGUGUGCGUGGUGAGUAGUGCAUGGGUUGGCGGCGGCGGGGACCUUGUAUUUGUAAGGGUGAUGUGGUGUUAGUAGUGCACGGGUGGUGGCGGCGGCGCCGGCGGGGACUUGUAUUUGUAAGGGUGAUGUGUGGUUGAGUAGUGGCACGGGUGUGCGGUGGCGGCGGGGAUUUUGUAUUUGUAAGGUGAUGCGGUGGUGAGUAGUGCACGGGUGGUGGUGGUGGUGGUGGGGACUUAUAUUUGUAAGGGUGAUGCGGUGGUGAGUAGUGCACGGGUGGAGGCGGCGGCGGUGGGGACUUAUAUUUGUAAGGGUGAUGCGGUGGUAAGUAGUGCACUGGUGGCGGUGGUGGCGGUGAUUUGUAGUGAUAAGGAGGAGGUGGUGGUGGCGACUUGGGAGGUGGUGGAGGAGAUUUGUAGUAAUAAUUAGCAGUGGUUUCCAAUGGCAAAGUGAGAGACACUAUUGCCACUAGGAGAGUGGUGAUGAGAGAGGCCAUUUUAGGCCUCAUUCCUUUCGUUCCCAUCUUCACCACAAAAUCGAUUUUUGGUUAUGCUCUUAACCCUCCCUCUCCA
rnacentral:lncRNA from 1 species